AGGGGGGCAUCCCAAUUACAUGGGGCAUCCCAAAUGGGUCAUCCCACAGUGUGCCAUGAUCCAAAAUACUGCGUGCCGGCUGCCUAACAAAAGGGGAUGACCCAGAUGGAUCAUCCCAUCAUGUUCUAACCUAAUUUUUUUAUAUAUUUAAGGUUUGAAACUUAUCAGAACUCAUCCAAAUACUCUCAAAUGAAUUCAAAUUAGUUUGAAAACUCUUCAAAGUCUUCAAAACUUCACCAACUUACUGAAAC
rnacentral:lncRNA from 1 species